rnacentral:rRNA from 1 species
UUCUUUCUUCGGAACUCUCUGCAAAGUGCUGCAUGGUUGUCGUCAGCUCGUGCCGUGAGGUGUCGGGUUAAGUCCCAUAACGAGCGCAACCCUUAUCGUUAGUUGCCAGCGGGUAAUGCCGGGGACUCUAGCGAAACUGCCGGUGUAAACCGAGAGGAAGGUGGGGAUGACGUCAAAUCAGCACGGCCCUUAUGUCCAGGGCUACACACGUGUUACAAUGGCCGGUACAGAGGGCAGCUACCUGGAGACAGGAUGCGAAUCUCGAAAGCCGGUCUCAGUUCGGAUCGGAGUCUGCAACUCGACUCCGUGAAGCUGGAUUCGCUAGUAAUCGCGCAUCAGCCAUGGCGCGGUGAAUACGUUCCCGGGCCUU